rnacentral:sRNA from 1 species
CAUCCCUGAGGCACUUAGAGAAAAGCUCAGGUAGGAUAUGCCCCGUGGUGGGAGGGGCUUGGCCCGAGCUGGGAGGCUGGGUCUGGACUGUCCUGGGCACCCACUGAGCGCAUCUCUCACCCCUGAGAGAGGAUCAGGAGAAGAGGCCUUGGGACCAUGAGCCCGUGAAGCCAAAGCCCUUGACCUACUGGAAGGGUGAGUUCCUGGGAGGGAGAAGGCAGGAGCCUGGAGGGUCUGGGGGCUGCCAGCUACUGCUCUGCCUGCCCUUAGGGGAUGCUCAGCCCCCUCUGCUCUGUCUUUCCCCUGGCAGAUGUCCUUCUGCUGGAGGGUGUGACCUUGACCCAGGAUUCCAGGCAGCUGAAUGGGUCGGAGCGGGCGGUGUUGGAUGGGCUGCUCACCCCAGCCGAGUGUGGGGUGCUGCUGCAGCUGGCUAAGGUACUCGGGAGGCUGAGGCAGGAGAAGUGCCUGAACCCGGGAGGCGGAGGUUGUGGUGAGCUGAUAUCGUGCCAUUGCACUCCAGCGUGGGCAACAAGAGCGAAACUCCAUCUCAAAAAAAAAAAAAAAAAAG